rnacentral:rRNA from 1 species
AUGGAGAGAAUCAUGACUUAUCUUUUCUUCUCCAAUCCUUCCCAUCCAAUCUCUCUUUGUUGUCUUCUCUUCUACUUCUUGCCUUCCCCCACAUCGCCUCCCCGCACCGCACUGCCUCCAGCCUUCCCCCACAUCGCCUCCCCGCACCGCACUGCCUCCAGCCUUCCCCCACGCGCCUCCGUACCGCCUCCGCUGCCCGACUCCACCCCUAUUCAAUGGCGUGAUGGGCUGCCUUGUGGUGCGUCGGCUCUCGCCCGCGAAGGUGCGGGCCGCCGGGACAAGGAGGUGGCCAUGGCCAACUCCACGGAACGAAUGUCCUCCUUGUGUUGGAGUGCACGUCCGACGAGGUCGACGGUGAGGACUAUGGUCGUUGCCAGAUCAAUGUUGGUCGGCCGUCCUGCCUACGUGUCUGUGACGCCUUAUUCAUGGUCUAUAGAUGUUACAUUGUCGCAUUCUGCACAAAUAUGUGCAAAUUCUGUUAUUGGCAAUGCUACAAGUAUUGGAGAACAGUUUGGUUACAUAUGGGCAAGUGGUGAUACUGGGAUUCAGGAGGAGUGGAGACAAUCAAUUGCUUCGAUUCCUAAAGAAAAACUUCAAGAGUUGCAGCAUCCUGUUUCUUUUGACGACCAAGAAGGAUCAGAAGAAGACUUGAACAACCGUCCAUCUGAAGCAGACCGUAACAAUGAUUCUGAGAUCAGCGUGGUUGAGGAUGAUGAUUAUACUAAGUUUGAGAAAUGGAUAACCAUGUUGGUAUCUUUUGUUGUGUUUGGUCAAGCAAAAUUAAAGAGAUGGAGGCAUCAUCGAGGAAACAACAACUUUUGUUUUUCAAUGGUAACACACGAGCAUGCCACCAUUAUGAUAGAGCCCGGGAUGAAGGUUGGGUUCAGUAUAGAACUAGGAGCACUUUCGUUCGAUAUUGGAUGGACAUUCAACUGUGCCUCGGAGACGCGGUCGAAGCACACCCGCCCCGUGUGCGCACUGGCUCACUUACAACACGAGUUAAUGGAUUUUGUGAUAAAAGUGAGGGUUGAGAAUGAGCAGGAUGAGGGUUGGGGUUGCAUAACAUUUAACUGCAUGUUACAAUGUGGCAAUGACUCACGAGCCAUGAGAUAUGCCUUCUUGGCUUGGGGCAUCACGGUCGGCGCACACCUUCUCCCCCUUGAUGGCAGUGGCCAAUUGACAUGA